CUUUUUGUCCCCUCCUUGCUGGUCUUCUAAGCAGAUUGAAGCAGCUUCAUCUCAUUCCUGGUUCAUCCUGAUUCCCUCAGUGGCUUGCUCCUGCAUUAGUAAUGUAAAACUGGCCCAAAAGGGUUUAAAAUUGUCAGAAGUUGAUCUUGAUCAGUUCAAAUAUUUUUUGACAAAGAAAAUCAGUUCUGGUCAGUUCAAAUCUAUUUUGACCAGUUUAAACCAAUUCUGCAGAACUCGAGCCUGUGGUCGGUAAACCCAGGAAGAUGGCUGAAGACUAUGCUGAUUCAAGCCAAAGCAAGGAAUCAGAGAAAGGUAAGAUUCAUUAAGACUUGGGUGAAAAGAGUUAACAUGGGCAGAAUCCUGGAAGACUUCAAGAAGAAGGUGGAAUUCAAACGGAGUCCUGAAGAAUAGGUGGUGAGGUCUCUCAACCUUCAGAUGGGUUCAGAGGUGCUGUCCAGGAUUCAGGGUCUUGCAAAGAGAUACGUAAAUAGAAUGCUCCACAAUAUGUGAAGAUAUUAGUGUCCCUUGUGAAUGCUCAACAAAGACUGACAUGAGCAGAGGAGGAUUUGAAUUAUCAGGAUGGGCCGCAAAGGAGAUUCUUCCAAGAUUUCAGAAGUUGGAAGGGAAGCAGAAUCCAUUUGAUAACACAAACACAUUGUUGCUUAUCUGUUGACUCAACUUGGGAUGAAGAAGCAGUUGAGCCAGUUGUGUGUGUAGAGCUCAAGGACAAAGGUCCUUAGCUUCUGCAGAAUACUAUCAUCACCAAGCUCACAGGCUUCUAGAGCAGACAUGUGCUUCAGUCCAUUCUGUGGGCUUCCAGCUUCUACUCUUGGAGUUCCAUCCUUUUUUAUGAUAUUACCUUUCUAACUGCAUAUGCUGUGGACUUCAAGCACUUGAAUCAGAUGUAGAGACAUUAUAUGGACUGCUUGAGUAGCCCCCACAACUGUGUAAGCCAAAUCCCUGUAACAAGUAUUUAUCCGUCCAUCCAUUCAUCUGUCUGUCUAUCUAUGAAUCUAUUGAUCUAUCUAGCUAUAUUAGUCCAUUCUUGCACUCUAUAAAGCACUACACAAGACUGGAUAAUUUAUAAAG
rnacentral:lncRNA from 10 species